CUACUCAUGUUGUACCUGUUGCUGAUGGUUAUGUUAUUGGGAGCAGCAUUAAGUCAGUUCCUAUUGCUGGUAAAGAUGUCACUCUCUUUAUUCAGCAGCUCAUGCGGGAAAGAGGAGAGAAUGUACCACCAGAAGANNNNNNNNNNNNGAAAAGUGAAGGAAAUGUAUUGCUACACAUGUUCUGACAUUGUUAAGGAGUACAACAAGCAUGACAAAGAACCAGCGAAGUAUAUUAAGCAUUGGAGGGGUAUUAAACCCAAAACAGGGGCACCAUACUCCUGUGAUAUUGGCUAUGAACGAUUUCUUGGCCCUGAGGUUUUCUUUAAUCCAGAGAUUUAUGGUAGCGACUUUACCACUCCUUUACCAGCUGUCAUAGACAAGUGUAUUCAGUCUGCGCCAAUUGACACAAGGAGGGCUUUGUAUAAGAAUAUAGUGCUAUCUGGGGGAUCAACCAUGUUCAAGGACUUUGGUAGAAGGUUGCAACGUGAUCUGAAGAAGAUUGUGGAUGCACGGGUUCUUACAUCUGAAGCUAGACUGGAUGAUGAAGUAAAAUCACAACCAUUGGAAGUUAACGUAGUCAGUCAUCCCAUCCAGAGAUUUGCUGUAUGGUUUGGAGGUUCAGUUCUUGCAUCAACACCUGAAUUUUUUGCUGCUUGCCACACAAAGGCAGAAUACGAGGAAUAUGGAGCAAGCAUAUGCAUGUCGCACAAAUCCUGUUUUCAAGGGAAUGUAUUAAUGCGACAUAUGCUUGCUCCAUACUCCUCG
rnacentral:misc_RNA from 1 species